AAGUCGUAACAAGGUUUCCGUAGGUGAACCUGCGGAAGGAUCAUGUAAACGUUCUUUUGAAAGAAUGGGUGCGGAUGUGUGGCACUUUAUUGGGCUGCACAGACGCCCCGUUCUCCAAACCCAUCGCGAACUGGAUUUCGUAGCAGACAAGGAGGGGACGACGGAAGUGCGGUAUGGUGUGGGGGAUUCUCUCUCGCCUACUACUGCACGUUCGUUUUACCUUUCUUCUGCGCACAUUUUUUUCUCAAAACCACUUUUUUCACAAAAUUUCAACGUAACGAACAUGUGUUGGAACGCAAAAGAAAAAGGGAAACGUAAAAAUUUCCUUCUUUUUUUUUCUCCGACCGCAUAUCAAUUUAUCAACUGCAAAAGAGAUAAAGAACAACUCUUAGCAACGGAUAUCUUGGUUCCC
rnacentral:misc_RNA from 1 species